rnacentral:rRNA from 1 species
CUACGAGUGGCUCCAGUGAGGAAUAUUGCACAAUGGGGGGAACCCUGAUGCAGCAACGCCGCGUGGAGGAUGACGCAUUUCGGUGUGUAAACUCCUUUUAUAUGUCAAGAAAAUGACGGUAGCAUAUGAAUAAGCACCGGCUAACUCCGUGCCAGCAGCCGCGCGUAAUACGGAGGGUGCAAGCGUUACUCGGAAUCACUGGGCGUAAAGGACGCGUAGGCGGGUUGGAAAGUCAGGUGUGAAAUCCUACAGCUUAACUGUAGAACUGCACUUGAAACUUCUAAUCUAGAGUAUGGGAGGGGGAGAUGGAAUUAGUGGUGUAGGGGUAAAAUCCGUAGAUAUCACUAGGAAUACCUAAAGCGAAGGCGAUCUCCUGGAACAUUACUGACGCUAAGGCGUGAAAGCGUGGGGAGCAAACAGGAUUAGAUACCCGCGUAGUC